rnacentral:ncRNA from 17 species
UAGGAGUAGGAACCUGCGCGUUAAGUGCUGCCGGAACGGAAUGUGAACGGCAGACGAAGACAAGUGUCGCGGUGCAGGUGCCGCAUUCGCCUG